rnacentral:rRNA from 1 species
AUUGAACGCUGGCGGCAGGCCUAACACAUGCAAGUCGGACGGUAGCACAGAGAGCUUGCUCUUGGGUGACGAGUGGCGGACGGGUGAGUAAUGUCUGGGGAUCUGCCCGAUAGAGGGGGAUAACCACUGGAAACGGUGGCUAAUACCGCAUAACGUCGCAAGACCAAAGAGGGGGACCUUCGGGCCUCUCACUAUCGGAUGAACCCAGAUGGGAUUAGCUAGUAGGCGGGGUACUGGCCCACCUAGGCGACGAGCCCAAGCGGGUCUGAGAGGAUAAGCAGCCUCACUGGGACUGAGACGCGGACCAGACACCUACGGGAGGCAGCGGUGGGGAAUAUUGCACACUGGGCGCAAGCCGGAUGCAGCCUGGCCGCGGGUAUGAAGAAGGCCUUCGGGUUGUAAGGUACUUUCAGCGGGGAGGAAGGCGACGCGGUUAAUAACCGCGUCGAUUGACGUUACCCGCAGAAGAAGCACCGGCUAACGCCGUGCCAGCAGCCGCGGUAA